UGGGGAAUAUUGGACAAUGGACCAAGAGUCUGAUCCAGCAAUUCUGUGUGCACGAUGAAGUUUUUCGGAAUGUAAAGUGCUUUCAGCUGGGAAGAAAGAAAUGACGGUACCAACAGAAGAAGUGACGGCUAAAUACGUGCCAGCAGCCGCGGUAAUACGUAUGUCACGAGCGUUAUCCGGAUUUAUUGGGCGUAAAGCGCGUCUAGGUGGUUAUGUAAGUCUGAUGUGAAAAUGCAGGGCUCAACUCUGUAUUGCGUUGGAAACUGUAUAACUAGAGUACUGGAGAGGUAAGCGGAACUACAAGUGUAGAGGUGAAAUUCGUAGAUAUUUGUAGGAAUGCCGAUGGGGAAGCCAGCUUACUGGACAGAUACUGACGCUGAAGCGCGAAAGCGUGGGUAGCAAACAGGAUUAGAUACCCUGGUAGUCCACGCCGUAAACGAUGAUUACUAGGUGUUGGGGGUCGAACCUCAGCGCCCAAGCAAACGCGAUAAGUAAUCCGCCUGGGGAGUACAUACGCAAGUAUG
rnacentral:rRNA from 1 species